rnacentral:rRNA from 1 species
CCUACGGGAGGCAGCAGUGGGGAAUAUUGCACAAUGGGCGAAAGCCUGACGCAGCGACGCCGCGUGAGGGAUGAAGGUCUUCGGAUCGUAAACCUCUGUCAGCAGGGAAGAACGGUCGCUGUACUAAUCAGCAGUGAAUUGACGGUACCUGCAAAGGAAGCACCGGCUAACUCCGUGCCAGCAGCCGCGGUAAUACGGAGGGUGCGAGCGUUAAUCGGAAUUACUGGGCGUAAAGCGCUCGUAGGCGGUAUGUCAAGUCAAGGGUGAAAUCCCCGCGCUCAACGUGGGAACUGCCUUUGAAACUGGCAGACUGGAGUGUGGGAGAGGAUAGUGGAAUUCCAGGUGUAGGAGUGAAAUCCGUAGAGAUCGGGAGGAACAUCAGUGGCGAAGGCGGCUAUCUGGCACAUAACUGACGCUGAGGAGCGAAAGCGUGGGUAGCAAACAGGAUUAGAUACCCCAGUAGUC